UCCGAGCUGUCCCGGGCAGAACCGCAGCGAAUGAUCGCGAGGUAUAGGGGGGGUUUCGGUCUGUUCCUUCAUCCAGGGAGCCCCGAGAUAACGGAGCAGUCUGGCAGCUCUAGCGAGAGCAGCUGACGAGGCGUGAGCGUUGCCAGGGCAACGGCUCUGCAUCCACGCACCCUCGCCUAGAGAAAGCCUCCGGGAGGGCAGCGAUCGCUGCUCGCCAGGACGGAGAGGAGGAGUCAGGGUGUGUGAAUCACGUGGGUCGGGCAAACGUGGAGAAACCGGAAAAGGGAGGAACAGCAGCCACACCUAGGGGAUGUUGAGCAGUGCAUCAGGCCUUGUGGAAACAAAAAGGAAGCAGUAAAUCUUCUCAGCAAGAGCAGAAAAGAAGGAAGAAUAAGAAUGAAGAACCAUGUGUGAGGGAAAACAGAUGCAGCAAUGUUCUUGUGAACAUACUGAAAUACCACGGUGACAAGCACAGGAGGUCAGCCUGGAAAGGAAAUCAGUGAAGUGCAUCAGUAUCCUGUGGCAUAUUGUCUCACAUUGUUUUCAGCAUGCAAAUUUUUUAUGCCAGAGAUCAGACUUUUGGUUAUAAAUCAAUGGGAAAUAUAGUAUAAAAAUGAAGAAAGAAAAAAAAGAAAGAAAGAAAAAUAAUAAAAAAGAAAAUAGUAACCAACAUAAAGAACCAGAAAGGAAUCAGUAUGGAUAAGAUAAAUGGAUGUCGGAAGGAAUGUUAGGCAUGUUUACCUGUGUGUAGAUAAACAGUGACUAGAUUUCUUGCUUAAACUUUUUUACUUUUCUUCCUAAGUUUUUGCCUGAGGCACACCAAAUUUUUCUCAAGACUGAUUGUAAUAAAUGUAUUUGUCUUGAAUGUGUGUGGUUCUUGAGCCAGAAGUGCACUUGCAGCCCAGAAGACCAACUGAAUCCUCGGCUGCAUCAAGAGACGAGUGGCUAGCAGGGAGAGCAGGUAACUCUCCCCCUUCACUCUGCCCUCAUGAGACCUAAUUUGGAGUACUGUGUCCAGGCCUGAGGCCUUAAAAACCAGAAUGAUAUGAAACAGUUGGAGUGGAUCCUGGGGAUGG